ACGAACGCUGGCGGCGUGCUUAACCCAUGCAAGUCGCACGGAAAGGCCCUGCUUGCAGGGUGCUCGAGUGGCGAACGGGUGAGUAACACGUGGGUGAUCUGCCCCUUACUUUGGGAUAAGCCUGGGAAACUGGGUCUAAUACUGGAUAGGACCAUGCUGUAGGUGGUGUGGUGGAAAGAUUAGUUUCGGUAAGGGAUGAGCUCGCGGCCUAUCAGCUUGUUGGUGGGGUAAUGGCCUACCAAGGCGUCGACGGGUAGCCGGCCUGAGAGGGUGGACGGCCACAUUGGGACUGAGAUACGGCCCAGACUCCUACGGGAGGCAGCAGUGGGGAAUAUUGCACAAUGGGCGCAAGCCGGAUGCAGCGACGCCGCGUGGGGGAUGACGGCCUUCGGGUUGUAAACUCCUUUCAGCCAUGACGAAGCCCUUGUGGUGACGGUAGUGGUAGAAGAAGCACCGGCUAACUACGUG
rnacentral:rRNA from 1 species